rnacentral:tRNA from 1 species
GCCGGCGUAGUGACAACGGCAGCACGCCUCCAUGGUAAGGAGGCAAUCGGGGUUCGACUCCCCGCGCCGGCU